UUUGAGAUUUCUGACUCCCAGCGCUCAUCUCCAAAACCAUCAAUCCCAAGAAGAGGAAAAAAAAAACAGAUUUCAAAUGUGCCCGUGGACUUCGAGCUGGUGCGUUCAGUGGCAAAGCUGGAAUUCAAAUCUCAGGGCUCCUGCUCUGGGCUUCUUCUCCAUGAAACUUGGAGGAAAAGAAAAAGGAAGACACUCUUACUGGUCAGAGGAGAGAACACAAUUCCUUCAGUGGAACCAGUAAUUCAAGCUACUGCAUAUGCCAAUUAAAGACCAAUCUGGGGAAAGGUGGAUGCCCUGGGCUCCAUCUGCCAUUCAACCACUGAUUACGGCCUUGUACGGAUGGACUUUCAGCAGCAGGAACCCAAAAUCAUUGGUGAAAUAGGAAAGCUAUUGUACAGAUAUUAGAAAAAUAAGACCUUCACAGUCAUCAGAAAAGUUAUCACUUAAUGUCAUGUGUCAUCAGUCCUUUCUUGUGAUUGAUUAUGUUUGUAUACAUGCACUUGAAAUGUGUUUUUAAAAGAGUAUUAUAAGAGAUAUUUUUCCAGUAAGUACAAUAAGCAUUCAAUAGUAGAACAAAUAGAACAUUGAUAUCUCAUUAUUAGUAUUGCUCACAUGUGUAUUAUGAGGCAGAAUUAAAGCUGAAAUGCAAUAAGAGCCAUAUUUUAUCAUAAUAGAUAUUUUUCAUUUUCUGAAAUAAUAUAAUAAAAUAAUGUGGUUGGUUAAAGUAUGUACACACAGGCUAUCAAUUAAGAUGUUUUAAAUUUAAUUAAAUAUUAAAUAAUAAAAGCCACAAGGGGAAGUAAGGGAAGUAAGACAAUUCUUUCUUUAACAUACAACACAUUUAAAUGUUUUCUGAUAAUUAUAGAAAUAUCAAAAUCAGAUCAAUCUUCAUACCUCAGAAAAUUAAAUGAUUAAAUACUGGAGACUAUUAAAACAAAUAAAACUGUUUAUUCCACAACUUUGCACAGCUAAAAAAAAAUCUUCUAUCAUGUCUAGAAACAUGUUUCUGACAUAUGCACACCUCACCAGCAUAUCUCAGGUUAUUAUACACCUCCAACCACAGCCUCACGGUGGCAGGCAGUCAGUAAGAUGGACCCCAGUGAUCCCUGCCUCCUGGUAUUCACAGUCUAGGGUAAUCUCCUUCCCUUGAGUGUGAGCCUGUGGCUUACUUCUAACCAAUAAGAGUACAGCAAAAGCAAUGGGAUGUCAAUUCUGUGAGUAUGUAAAAUUGUAACUUCCAUCUUGCAAGCCAACUCUCUUCUUUGCUGGCUUUCAUGACGCAAUAUACCAUGUUGGAGGGGCUCGCGUGGCGAAGAACUGAGAGGCCUGUAGGAACAAAGUCCAAUAGCCAGGUAGGAAGGAGUCCCUCAGUCCCACAACCCAAGGAAACUGAAUUCUGUCAACUAACACGCAUGUAAGUGAGCUUGGAAGUGACUUCUUCCCCAAGUGAGUCUUCAGAUGAGGUCCUAGCCAACUUUUUGAUUGCAGCUUGUGACAGACCCUGAAGCAAAGGACUCAGCUAAGUUGUGUCCUAAUUCCUCCACUGUGAGAAAAUAAAUGUGUGUUUUUUAAAAUGCUAAAUUUGUGGUAAUUUCUUAUUCAGUAAUAGAUAGCUAAUACAUGCGUGUACAUACAAACACACGCACACACACUGUAUUUGGCUUUCACACUGAGGAGAACACAGUUAGUAGGCCCUUUUCAUGUGGCUUUUAAGGAGGCAUAAUUACUUUUCUUCGUCUGUGAUCCACCUUUGUGUUCUUCAGGUUCUUUUCCAGGCCUUUGCCCCGAGUGUGUGGGGGACCAAAGGGACGUCAUGCUAUAUGGAUGGUAUUGCAAAUUCAUAUCCUUGGAUCUGAAAGUAGUCCUAGAACAUAUCCUAAGGAGAUCAUCUAUCAAGAUUAGAGAAUUUCCUUCAUGAUGUUGUUUAUCGUGGCAAAACUAGGAACAACCUGAAUACCAGUCCCUCCAAGAAGCUAUUGAAUAAUAUGGGUAUCCCUGUUCAGGAAAAAUGCAAACAAACCACUAAAAAGAGUAAAAUAAUCUUUAUUGAUAUGAAAAGAUGUUUAAUGUUUACUAUUACAUUUUUAAAAGAAGUUAAAAAUCUCAUUAAAAACUAGUUUAAAAUCCACUCUUAUUCCAUGCUUGUAUUAUAGAUAAUAUAUAUGUAGUUUUUUUUAAGUAGAAAAAUUUCUGGAAAAACACUUAUUAAAAUGCUAUUUGUUUUCUAUGAAUAGAGUAAAACCAGAUAAGUGAAAGAAAAUACCCGUGUUUUCUAUAUUUUCUACGAUGUUUAUUCCUGAAUAGAUGUUUCAAGGCUUUCAUUAUGUUCAUAGAUUAAUUGAAGUGAAUGGAAACUGUUUCUUAGACAACCUAAAAUAUAUCCCAAUUCCAAAGUCCAGGUCUGUCUUCAUUGCUUCGAGUGCAGUUGUAUGAAAUACUUCUCAGUGAGGCCAAAUUUCUUAAUAAUGAUUAAUUCCAGUUUCAUUUUUCACCCUCUUCAUUCCAUUUGAGAAGAGUAGUGGAAAGGAGUAUGGUACCAUACCCCACACUUUAGACCUAUGGUCUUGUAGAACUUCUUAGGGAUCUACUUUGAUAAAAAUUUAAUUUGCUGGUUACAUCAGAUGAUGUCACACAGUUAAUGAGCAUUCUCUCCUAUGCUGUACCUUCUCUGUUCUACUAAUAUAGCUAUGGUCAAUUUUUCUAUCAUGGAGAAGAAUCUGUGGAUAACUCCUACUAUUUU
rnacentral:lncRNA from 10 species